rnacentral:rRNA from 1 species
GAUGAACGCUGGCGGCGUGCCUAAUACAUGCAAGUCGAGCGAACGGACGAGAAGCUUGCUUCUCUGAUGUUGGCGGCGGACGGGUGAGUAACACGUGGAUAACCUACCUAUAAGACUGGGAUAACUUCGGGAAACCGUAGCUAAUACCGGAUAAUAUUUUGAACCGCAUGGUUCAAAAGUGAAAGACGGUCUUGCUGUCACUUAUAGAUGGAUCCGCGCUGCAUUAGCUAGUUGGUAAGGUAACGGCUUACCAAGGCAACGAUGCAUAGCCGACCUGAGAGGGUGAUCGGCCACACGGGAACUGAGACACGGUCCAGACUCCUACGGGAGGCAGCAGUAGGGAAUCUUCCGCAAUGGGCGAAAGCCUGACGGAGCAACGCCGCGUGAGUGAUGAAGGUCUUCGGAUCGUAAAACUCUGUUAUUAGGGAAGAACAUAUGUGUAAGUAACUGUGCACAUCUUGACGGUACCUAAUCAGAAAGCCACGGCUAACUACGUG